rnacentral:rRNA from 1 species
ACUCCUACGGGAGGCAGCAGUGGGGAAUAUUGCACAAUGGGCGCAAGCCUGAUGCAGCCAUGCCGCGUGUGUGAAGAAGGCCUUCGGGUUGUAAAGCACUUUCAGUCGUGAGGAAGGCGGGUACGUUAAUAGCGUAUUCGUUUGACGUUAGCGACAGAAGAAGCACCGGCUAACUCCGUGCCAGCAGCCGCGGUAAUACGGAGGGUGCGAGCGUUAAUCGGAAUUACUGGGCGUAAAGCGCAUGCAGGUGGUUUGUUAAGUCAGAUGUGAAAGCCGGGGGCUCAACCUCGGAAUAGCAUUUGAAACUGGCAGACUAGAGUACUGUAGAGGGGGUAGAAUUUCAGGUGUAGCGGUGAAAUGCGUAGAGAUCUGAAGGAAUACCGGUGGCGAAGGCGGCCCCCUGGACAGAUACUGACACUCAGAUGCGAAAGCGUGGGGAGCAAACAGGAUUAGAUACCCUGGUAGGACAGUG